rnacentral:tRNA from 1 species
GGCGGAUUAGUGUAGUAGUAACAUGAUUGGCUCAUGUCCAGUAGUCAGAGGUGCAAUUCCUUUGUCCGCGU